GUCCACGCUGUAAACGAUGAGUGCUAGAUGUUGGUGAAGGAAUUCAUCAGUGUCGCAGCUAACGCAUUAAGCACUCCGCCUGGGGAGUACGGUCGCAAGAUUAAAACUCAAAGGAAUUGACGGGGGCUCGAACAAGCGGUGGAGUAUGUGGUUUAAUUCGAAGCAACGCGAAAAACCUUACCAGCUCUUGACAUGGGGAUUCUGGAGAUCAGAGAUGAUUUCCUUCGGUUCGGCCGGGUCCCACACAGGUGCUGCAUGGCUGUCGU
rnacentral:rRNA from 1 species